GACGAACGCUGGCGGCGUGCUUAACACAUGCAAGUCGAACGAUGAUGGAGAGCUUGCUCUUCGGAUUAGUGGCGAACGGGUGAGUAACACGUGAGCAAUCUGCCCUUGACUCUGGGAUAAGCGUUGGAAACGACGUCUAAUACCGGAUACNACCCUUGGAGGCAUCUCUGGGGGUGGAAAGAUUUNGGUCAGGGAUGAGCUCGCNGUCUAUCANCUANUUGGUGAAGUAAUGGCUCACCAANGCGACGACGGGUANCCGGNCUGAGAAGGUGANCGGGCACACUGGGACUGAGACCGGCCAGACC
rnacentral:rRNA from 1 species